CUGGUGCCAGCAGCCGCGGUAAUUCCAGCUCCAAUAGCGUAUAUUAAAGUUGUUGCAGUUAAAAGCUCGUAGUUGAAUUUCGGGAUUAGUACGUUGGUCGUGCCUUGGUACGUACUGGUGUAACUGAUCCCUCCCUUCUGACGAACCGUUAUGCCAUUAAUUUGGUGUGGCGGGAAAUCAGGACUGUUACUUUGAAAAAAUUAGAGUGUUUAAAGCAGGCUCGCGCUUGAAUACAUUAGCAUGGAAUAAUGAAAUAGGACGUUAUCCUAUUUUGUUGGUUUCUAGGAUCGACGUAAUGAUUAAUAGGGAUAGUUGGGGGCAUUAGUAUUCAAUUGUCAGAGGUGAAAUUCUUGGAUUUAUUGAAGACUAACUACUGCGAAAGCAUUUGCCAAGGAUGUUUUCAUUAAUCAAGAACGAAAGUUAGGGGAUCGAAGACGAUCAGAUACCGUCGUAGUCUUAACCAUAAACUAUGCCGACUAGGGAUCGGAUGAUGUUAAUUUUUUUAAUGACUCAUUCGGCGCCUUACG
rnacentral:rRNA from 1 species